rnacentral:rRNA from 1 species
UGCGCAGGCGGUUUAUUAAGACAGAUGUGAAAUCCCCGGGCUUAACCUGGGAACUGCAUUUGUGACUGGUAGGCUAGAGUGUAGCAGAGGGGGGUAGAAUUCCACGUGUAGCAGUGAAAUGCGUAGAGAUGUGGAGGAAUACCAAUGGCGAAGGCGGCCCCCUGGGUUAACACUGACGCUCAUGCACGAAAGCGUGGGGAGCAAACAGGAUUAGAUACCCUGGUAGUCCACGCCCUAAACGAUGUCAACUAGGUGUUGGGGGAGGAGACUUCCUUAGUACCGCAGCUAACGCGUGAAGUUGACCGCCUGGGGAGUACGGCCGCAAGGUUGAA